CAUAUUGAAACUAUUAGAGACUCGAUGUGUACCAAGUGUAGAAAAUGGAUACGUAUGAUGAAAAUGUGGAACUCGAUUGGAAUGUUGAGCAAUGUAAAUGAAGUUGGAAAUUCUUAAAGCAGGAAUUGUUAUAUAAACAAGAAGAUUCAAAGAAGAAUCUUGAAGAGAUAUGUAGAUAAGAAAUGGGAGUUACCUAACUCCAAUAGCCAAG
rnacentral:lncRNA from 1 species